GGUCUCCGUUGGUGAACCAGCGGAGGGAUCAUUACUGAGUUUACGCUCUACAACCCUUUGUGAACAUACCUAUAACUGUUGCUUCGGCGGGUAGGGUCUCCGUGACCCUCCCGGCCUCCCGCCCCCGGGCGGGUCGGCGCCCGCCGGAGGAUAACCAAACUCUGAUUUAACGACGUUUCUUCUGAGUGGUACAAGCAAAUAAUCAAAACUUUUAACAACGGAUCUCUUGGUUCUGGCAUCGAUGAAGAACGCAGCGAAAUGCGAUAAGUAAUGUGAAUUGCAGAAUUCAGUGAAUCAUCGAAUCUUUGAACGCACAUUGCGCCCGCCAGCAUUCUGGCGGGCAUGCCUGUUCGAGCGUCAUUUCAACCCUCAAGCUCUGCUUGGUGUUGGGGCCCUACAGCUGAUGUAGGCCCUCAAAGGUAGUGGCGGACCCUCCCGGAGCCUCCUUUGCGUAGUAACUUUACGUCUCGCACUGGGAUCCGGAGGGACUCUUGCCGUAAAACCCCCCAAUUUUCCAAAGGUUGACCUCGGAUCAGGUAGGAAUACCCGCUGAACUUAAGCA
rnacentral:rRNA from 1 species